ACGGGGGGUGCAAGCGUUGUUCGGAAUUAUUGGGCGUAAAGCGCGUGUAGGCGGCUGAAUAAGUCAGAUGUGAAAUCCCUGGGCUUAACCUAGGAAGUGCAUUUGUGACUAUAUAGCUAGAGUACGGCAGAGGGGGAUGGAAUUCCGGGUGUAGCAGUGAAAUGCGUAGAUAUGCGGAGGAACACCGAUGGCGAAGGCAAUCCCCUGGGCCUGUACUGACGUUCAUGCACGAAAGCGUGGGGAGCAAACAG
rnacentral:rRNA from 1 species